CCGGCUGGGCGUCACUCACGCGCCAGGAACCACCAACGACGAGCUGCAACGGAUCAAAUGGUUAUGGUCAUCAGCAACUCAACAACGCAGAGCAACCAACAGCUUGUAAAAUUGCAGCGUAUUUCGACGGCCAGACGUGCGGUAACAGCAAGACUAGCCAGAUGUGCAGCUAUAUUCCCAAGCAAGGAUCGAAUCGCUGACAAAUCUAUCAAUGUACAGGCACAGGAUUACCAAAGCAAGACUAGGCAGAUGCGGCGCUAUCUUCUCAAGCAAGGAUGGAAUCCCUGACAAAUCUAUCCGCAGGUAGAGGUUUACAAGUCAGAUUUAUGUGUAAAUUCGUGACAGCAAAUAAGCAACCAGGUAUGUCACAAUAAGGCUGCUCAAACAAGGAAUGAAUGAGAGCGACUAGCGGAACUGCAGAAAUGGCAACUUGAAUCUACUCGAUGCAUUGGAGAAAACAAAAACAUCCCCAACCCUCCCCUUUACCCCUUUUGGGCAGGGACACGCCACCUACGAGAUCUGGAGCUCGGCCACCCGCCAGCACGCGGAGGCAGGACCGGACCGGAGCACCGACUCCGACGAAGACACCUAGGCUAGACUAAACCGUCAGCGGCAGCGGCACAGGAAAGACCUAGGGCAAGGAGGCGCUCGGCGAGCCGGGACGAGGAAUCGGGCGGCAGAUCCGAAUCGGGGGGCGCGAUCUGGCCGGCCCAAGCGCGGAGACCCGGGCCGCGGGGAGGCGAGCGGGGCGGAUCAGGGGGGAGGGUGGGACUGCUUACGGGCGGCGAGGAGACGGCGAGGCGCCUCCCUCCGGCCCGGCGGUGCGAGAGAAGGAGAGGGGAGGGGACGAGAUGCUUCGGGGAACAAGUGGGGAGGAAGAAGAUGACAAGGAGAGUAUGAACCCUCUCGCUGCCUGCGAGUUAUUAAUUGUUUCUGACUUUGGUCAAGCCGGGUUAAUUAGUUUUUUUAGGCAACGUCGCGAGGCUUUAUUAAUUCGUUACAAUAUUUAUAAGGACCGAAGAUAGGUUCCGGGAUGGCCUAACCAGACAUGACGGCCACCACCGAGAGAUAAAGCAUGCCUCGCUAAGUUGUGAGCUUCAUAAUUGAAGCUCCUAAACUCAUGUUUAAAAUUACAAAACUUAAAAAUUAAAGAGGGAGCUAUUAUUUCAUGUACAAUUGCACCGUAGCUCGCAAGAUUGUCCUUCUGUAGGUCUUUCACGACCACUGGCGGAUGAUCUAUAUUUGAGGCGGGUUGAAGUUGCAGCCGGGUUAAUUAGUAGUGAGUAUAAGUACUAACGGCGAUCCGGGACGGCCCAGUCGACAUCGACGAUGGGCUUGUAGGCCCAGCCCGUGCGACGACCGGCCGGCCACGUGAGAAAUCAUCAAAACACCCCUCAAAAAAACGUGAGAAAUCAAAAUUUUGCCUCGAAAAGGAAAACGUGAGAGGUCAAAACUCCGCGCAAAAACAAGGUGAAUAAUCAAAAUUCCUGUAGAGAAAAAAC
rnacentral:lncRNA from 1 species